rnacentral:circRNA from 1 species
UAAUCUAUGCCAGCAAUUAUGACAAUGUUAGCAGACCAUGCAGCUCGUCAGCUGCUUGAUUUCAGCCAAAAACUGGAUAUCAACUUAUUAGAUAAUGUGGUGAAUUGCUUAUACCAUGGAGAAGGAGCCCAGCAAAGAAUGGCUCAAGAAGUACUGACACAUUUAAAGGAGCAUCCUGAUGCUUGGACAAGAGUCGACACAAUUUUGGAAUUUUCUCAGAAUAUGAAUACGAAAUACUAUGGACUACAAAUUUUGGAAAAUGUGAUAAAAACAAGGUGGAAGAUUCUUCCAAGGAACCAGUGCGAAG